rnacentral:tRNA from 1 species
AAGUGAGAAGCAAAUUCUUGCAGUCAGUUUCGACCUGACCUUAGAUAAUAAAAUUUAUCCUCACUUU